rnacentral:rRNA from 1 species
AUGGUGUCGAACAUGUCGCGUCAGUUCACUGAGCUGUGUACAUUCGAAUCGGUGAUGUUUCUGCGAAGAGUGAGAACUUGUAGAGCAGCGGCGAGCAAUCUCUUUGUUUUCCCUUGUCGUGUUCUAUUUCUUGUGGAGCAGCUUGGAAGGUUCUCUCCCUCUCUCUCGCUCAUCUGCGCUCUCUAUUCGGCUCCGUGUUGCUCUUGGCAGAUUCAGAUUUUUUUUCUCUCUCCUCUUUCCGAUUUAAACAAGAUGGAGCUUAUAGUGGCUACGGUUAGGAGUAAUUGCGGAACAUCCCAAAAUUGCUAUUUGCUUCUUGCAUUCAUAAAUGGAAUUGUUUGGUUGCAAAGUACAGUAUUUUUUUUGUAUUCUGGGGAUACCGUGGUUUCUAAAAGAACCUAA